UCCUUACUGGUCUAGCGGUCAGGAUGUCUGCCUUUCAAGCAGGAGGUAGGGGUUCGAUUCCCCUGUAGGGAA
rfam:Ordospora colligata OC4 contig_11, whole genome shotgun sequence.